AGGACUUUGAGCUUUUACAAAAAGAGAAACUUUAUCUGAAAACACUUUUAAUAAAAACAAAACAGACUGAAAAGAAGGUACCGACAGAGGCUUGUCCACUGCUGGAAACAAAUUAUGUUACAGGUGUUGUUAUCCAAAGCGACUUACAGGUGAGGAAGGAUACAGUCCAAGAUGCAGGACUAGGCCUUGUCCAGAAGUGUCCAUUUGUGCAGUGUUCAAGUGCAUCCCAUUUCUCAAAUGCGCCAAAGGUUUGACUGAGCCAGCGCCAGGGUUUGCUGGGUCGAGAAGCAUUUGGAACUGGUUGUCGGGUGUGUAGGGUGUGCGGAAAGGGGCAUAAUUGAAGACGCUGAAUUUUUUCCGAAUGUUCUCCACAUAGAC